rnacentral:rRNA from 1 species
AUUUAAAGAAAGCGUAAUAGCUCACUGGUCGAGUCGGCCUGCGCGGAAGAUGUAACGGGGCUAAACCAUGCACCGAAGCUGCGGCAGCGAACGUAUCACCCAAGACAACUUUACGGAGUUGACGAUUGAUGGAGCGAAGCGACGUCAAAGCGUUCAUUAAAGUCGAGUUGGCUUAGGGAUACGUUCGUUGGGUAGGGGAGCGUUCUGUAAGCCUGUGAAGGUGGCCUGUGAGGGUUGCUGGAGGUAUCAGAAGUGCGAAUGCUGACAUAAGUAACGAUAAAGCGGGUGAAAAGCCCGCUCGCCGGAAGACCAAGGGUUCCUGUCCAACGUUAAUCGGGGCAGGGUGAGUCGACCCCUAAGGCGAGGCCGAAAGGCGUAGUCGAUGGGAAACGGGUUAAUAUUCCCGUACUUGGUGUUACUGCGAAGGGGGGACGGAGAAGGCUAUGUUGGCCGGGCGACGGUUGUCCCGGUUUAAGCGUGUAGGUGUGUGUUCCAGGUAAAUCCGGUUCACUUUAACACUGAGGCGUGAUGACGAGGCACUACGGUGCUGAAGCAACAAAUGCCCUGCUUCCAGGAAAAGCCUCUAAGCAUCAGGUAACAUCAAAUCGUACCCCAAACCGACACAGGUGGUCAGGUAGAGAAUACCAAGGCGCUUGAGAGAACUCGGGUGAAGGAACUAGGCAAAAUGGUGCCGUAACUUCGGGAGAAGGCACGCUGACACGUAGGUGAAGUGAUUUACUCAUGGAGCUGAAGUCAGUCGAAGAUACCAGCUGGCUGCAACUGUUUAUUAAAAACACAGCACUGUGCAAACACGAAAGUGGACGUAUACGGUGUGACGCCUGCCCGGUGCCGGAAGGUUAAUUGAUGGGGUCAGCGCAAGCGAAGCUCCUGAUCGAAGCCCCGGUAAACGGCGGCCGUAACUAUAACGGUCCUAAGGUAGCGAAAUUCCUUGUCGGGUAAGUUCCGACCUGCACGAAUGGCGUAAUGAUGGCCAGGCUGUCUCCACCCGAGACUCAGUGAAAUUGAACUCGCUGUGAAGAUGCAGUGUACCCGCGGCAAGACGGAAAGACCCCGUGAACCUUUACUAUAGCUUGACACUGAACAUUGAGCCUUGAUGUGUAG